ensembl:lncRNA
GGAUCUUACAUAACAUAUGUGAGAUGAGAGGCCUCAUUUAUGCUGACCCUGUGCUCUGUGACUGGGGGUUGUGUUACUGUGUGUGUGUGUGUGUGUGUGUGUGUGGACGUGGGAGUUUGAUGUUGAAUUUGUCCCAUGGACCUGCCGAUAUGGUAACGUUGUGGGGGUUUUGGUUCUGUAAGGCCAGAGGUCGAACUCGGAGGUUGGAUCAAUAGAGUAAAAGUCAUCAUCUGGUUAUGAAUGUUCAGACUGCGGAGCGAAAGGAGAUCCGGCAGCCUAAGGAUCCUCUGCCACUAGAUAGGGACUGAGUCAUCCUGCCCUGAGAGAAGCCCAUCCCCACUGACCCUUGCUGUGUCCAAGUGGCUGAAUGGAAUUGUGUGUGACCUAUCACCUGACCCCUUUAGGGAUAGGGGGAGGCUAUCCUCCAGUUACCCCUGUCCUGGGGGUCGGGGGAUGAGAAGAAAAAGGAGAGCGGGAGAAAGAGCGAGGCCACAUGGAGACCUGGUCAGUCUGUGCCCAAUCAUAGACAACUCCUUUAACUCUCUUACAGAAUAUACGGGUGUUAAGUUGUUAUUCAGGAGAGAAUUCUGGCACUAUAUGUCAUCCCUUCACAUUUAGCAUUGGUUCAGUGAUUUGUCAUAAUAUGCAGGUAAAGAACACAUUUCCCAUGACUGAUGCAUAUGAUUAUAUUUGUAAACUGCCAAAUGAAUGUAAAUGAAUGGCCAUAAAUAGGGAGGACAUCACACAUAACAUUCCACAGGAUGUUAAAUCACCACUAACUACCCAAACUUUAGCCGGGAUAAAACUUCAGUGAUACAUUUGCCAGUUACUUUGUGAUAUGAAACGCCACCCAGUGGUCUAAGUUAGAAUUACCACUGAGGUGUAGAGGGUGAGUAAAACUGUUAACAGCAUUUAACACUGGAAAGAUUAUGACACAGAGGACAGACUAAAAGGGUUAACUCCUCAAAGGUUACAUGGUCAGAAUAUAAAACCCCUCAGUUUGGAACAAUGGCGUGCAUGUAGCACUGAAUAAGCACUGUAAGCAGUAGCCUGAAGGCAUUGCAGAAGAUGCACAAAUAGUUACGAACAGCCAGAUGUAGUGUCAUUUUUUAAUUCUUUUUUCAAAAAGAUGCCAACCACUUUGGCAUGCCAG